AGUGAACGCUGGCGGUAGGCCUAACACGUGCAAGUCGAACGGCAGCACAGUAAGAGCUUGCUCUUACGGGUGGCGAGUGGCGGACGGGUGAGGAAUACAUCGGAAUCUACUUUUUCGUGGGGGAUAACGUAGGGAAACUUACGCUAAUACCGCAUACGACCUACGGGUGAAAGCAGGGGAUCUUCGGACCUUGCGCGAUUGAAUGAGCCGAUGUCGGAUUAGCUAGUUGGCGGGGUAAAGGCCCACCAAGGCGACGAUCCGUAGCUGGUCUGAGAGGAUGAUCAGCCACACUGGAACUGAGACACGGUCCAGACUCCUACGGGAGGCAGCAGUGGGGAAUAUUGGACAAUGGGCGCAAGCCUGAUCCAGCCAUACCGCGUGGGUGAAGAAGGCCUUCGGGUCGUAAAGCCCUUUUGUUGGGAAAGAAAAGCAGCAGGUUAAUACCCCGCUGUUCUGACGGUACCCAAAGAAUAAGCACCGGCUAACUUCGUG
rnacentral:rRNA from 1 species